rnacentral:lncRNA from 1 species
UUUUUUUUUUUUUUUUUUCUUUUUAGGGCCGCACUGCAGCACAUGGAGGUUCCCAGGCUAGGGGGCCAUCUAAGCUACAGCUGCCAGCCCACACCACAGGCACAGCAAUGCUGGAUCCUUAACCCGCUGAGCGAGGCCAGGGAUCAAACCUGUGUCCUCAUGGAUACUAGUUGGGUUUGUUAGUGCUGAGCCACAGUGGGAACUCCUUCCCCUCUAAUCUUAAUUAUCUCAUUCCUCUGCAUGUUUUGGGUUGUUUGCUCUUGUUCCAGCCUCUUUGAGUGGCAUAUUAAGUUGCUGAUCUACGUAGAGAUCUCUUCUGUGACACAGGGGCCUGGAGUUAUAAAUUGCCCUCUGAGCGCUGCAUUAGCUGCAUCUCUGAAGUUCUGGGGGGUGUGUUUUCACUCCAUUUACCUCGAAGUAGUUUUAAUUGCCCUCGCGUGCUCCUUGUGUGUCCUUCUGUCUCUGCUUGCUUUCUGCUGAUGAGAAGAGCACCUCCCCAGGCCCUAAACGGUCUUCAGAACCAUGAUUUCUGCAGCUUCCCAAGAGACCCCUGCUGGGACUGCUGUCCCACGGGCCCCUCUGUGGCCAUCCUCCCUGCUCCCUGCAGGCUCUGGCUCGGUUCCUGGGUGCAAAGUCUUGUAGAAGAGGAAGCACGCAUUUAAAGGUCCUUGUCACAUCCUGCCAUCCUCCCCGCCCCUGGCAGUGUUUGUGCACCCCAGCACCCUUCUCAGAAUGGCUGAGGGGGUUGCACAAGCACAUGGAGACAAGUCCCCAGCAGUGGAAGGUCCCAGGCUGUGCGUCCAGCCUGGUGAGGGUCGUUGCCCCGGGACUGCCCACUUGCCUCAUGGGGGAAGCACCCAGCCGACCUCAACCUCGACAGCAGUGUGCACCCAGCCGCUCAGCCUUCUGUGUGGGUUUUGCUUUCAUGGGGGGUUUGCAUACAUAGUGUCACAGUGCGUCAGGUCAGGAGGCAGAGAGCCUGGGGCUGAGAGCAGGUCUGAGGAGGCUGGAUGGAAGCGGGCAAGGCCUCCCCUCUCCAGCCCCGGCCCAGCGGUCGGUCCUAUGAUGAUGAGGCUGUGUUUGCAGAAUAUUUGCAGGUUGCAGGCGGGGUGGGGUGCUUUCUUAGGGCCUCUGGAGGCUCCUGGAGGGGGCAGUGGGGACAGGACCCCAUGCUAGGGUCCAAACUGCAGAGGCAUCAUCACUUCCCAGACUGUCCCCCCCCCAUCCCGCCCCUCCCCCUCUUUCAUUUUUGGGAUCCCAUUAGUACCUGGGGCUGCAGCUCCCUGGGGAGACUCCAGGCACGGAGAGCUGCUCCCUCCCAGACCUCAAGGUCUCUGGGCAGCUCCGGGGCCCUGGGGGCAGAGGGCUCUGUUUACCUAAUACCGGCUGGGGGGGGUUGGCAAACAGCCCUUGGCUCCAGGCCUGCCUGUCGGGCUGGGUGGCGUCCAGGGGCCCCAAAGCCUACAUACCUUCCUCCCCACCUCCCCGGGCGCUGACCUGCGGUGACCUCACACAAAGGAAAUCCCUCAAGCCAACUUCCAGGGCUGUGGGGGUGGGGUCGGGCACCUUGCAGGUCACACCCUCUCCUGGGCCUGAGGAGUGUGCUGAGACCUCAGGGCGAGCCAGCGGGGUUGAGGGCCAGAGAGGGAAAGCCAUGUGUCUGAAGACACACAGCAGCGCCACAGUUUCUUCCUGUGGCUGGGGGCCCCCACCACACCUGGUCCUCAGGGCUCCAGCCCUAACGGGGGACAGUGGGGAGACAGACCUGCUUUUCGAGGCAGCUGGGCUCCUGUCCAAAUUCCUAACAGCCUGAGAAACACCCUCCAGAAAAAAAGCAGCCCAAGUCAUCAUCUCGUGUGUUUAAAAAAUUCUGGCAUUUUCCCCUCAAAAUCUGUCCUAGUUAUGCUUGAGAUCUCCUGACCCCAGAAUACUUUUAUUUAUGACAGAAAAUUCAUCUCCAUGGCAACGCCUUAGGAAGCUGCAGCAUCGAGAUUAUAACUUCCCAAGCAAUGAAGAAAAUAAAUGGAUUUCUC